rnacentral:tRNA from 2 species
GGAAGAUGCCGCUCAGUGGUGGGCGAAUCGGUUUGAACCCGGUGGUGCUGGUAACGGUGGGGGCUCGACUCCUCCAUCUUCCGCCA